rnacentral:tRNA from 1 species
GGGGUUGUGGCUCAGCGGUAGAGUGCUCGCCUAGCAUGUGUGAGACCCUGGGUUCAAUCCUCAGCACCACA